rnacentral:rRNA from 1 species
UACGUAGGGUGCAAGCGUGUCCGGAAUUAUUGGGCGUAAAGAGCUCGUAGGCGGUCUGUCACGUCUGCUGUGAAAACUCGGGGCUUAACCCCGGGCCUGCAGUGGGUACGGGGCAGACUAGAGUGCGGUAGGGGAGACUGGAAUUCCUGGUGUAGCGGUGAAAUGCGCAGAUAUCAGGAGGAACACCGGUGGCGAAGGCGGGUCUCUGGGCCGUAACUGACGCUGAGGAGCGAAAGCGUGGGGAGCGAACAGG